rnacentral:tRNA from 1 species
GAGGGUAUAGAUCAGUGGUAGAGCUCAUGCUUAGCAUGCACAAGGUCCUGGGUUCAAUCCACAGUACCUCCA